AUUGAACGCUGGCGGCAUGCCUUACACAUGCAAGUCGAACGGCAGCGCGGGGCAACCUGGCGGCGAGUGGCGAACGGGUGAGUAAUAUAUCGGAACAUACCCUAGAGUGGGGGAUAACGUAGCGAAAGUUACGCUAAUACCGCAUACGCACUAAGGUGGAAAGUGGGGGAUUCGCAAGAACCUCAUGCUCAUGGAGUGGCCGAUAUCUGAUUAGCUAGUUGGUGAGGUAAAGGCUCACCAAGGCAACGAUCAGUAGCUGGUUUGAGAGAACGACCAGCCACACUGGAACUGAGACACGGUCCAGACUCCUACGGGAGGCAGCAGUGGGGAAUUUUGGACAGUGGGGCAACCCUGAUCCAGCAAUGCCGCGUGAGUGAAGAAGGCCUCGGUUGUAAG
rnacentral:rRNA from 1 species